AGGGAUGCCUCAGUAACGGCGAGUGAAGCGGCAACAGCUCAAAUUUGAAAUCUGGCGCAAGCCCGAGUUGUAAUUUGCAGAGGAUGUUUCGGGUGAAAGGCCACGGGUCCAAAGUCCCUUGGAACAGGACGUCAUAGAGGGGUGAGAACCCCGUACCUGGGCCGUCGGGUGCCCCCCCCGCUGUGAAACUCCUUUCGACGAGUCGAGUUGUUUUGGGAAUGCAGCUCUAAAUUUGGUGGUAAAUUCCAUCUAAAGCUAAAUACCGGCCCAGAGACCGAUAGCGCACAAGUAGAGUGAUCGAAAGAUGAAAAGCACUUUGAAAAGAGAGUUAAAAAGUACGUGAAAUUGUUGAAAGGGAAGCGCUUGCGGCCAGACUUGCCCGCGGUUGCUCAGCCCGCCUUUUGGCGGGUGCACUCUUCCGCGGUCAGGCCAGCAUCGGUUUGGGCGGUCGGAUAAAGGCGCCGGGAACGUGGCCUCCCCUCGGGGAGGUGUUAUAGCCCGGCGCGCAAUGCGGCCAGCCCGGACCGAGGUUCGCGCUUUGCUAGGAUGCUGGCGUAAUGGCCGUAAGCGGCCCGUCUUGAAACACGGACCAAGGAGUCUAACAUCUAUGCGAGUGUUUGGGUGUCAAACCCGUGCGCGUAAUGAAAGUGAACGGAGGUGGGAACCGCAAGGUGCACCAUCGACCGAUCCUGAUGUCUUCGGAAGGAUUUGAGUAAGAGCAUAGCUGUUGGGACCCGAAAGAUGGUGAACUAUGCGUGAAUAGGGUGAAGCCAGAGGAAACUCUGGUGGAGGCUCGCAGCGGUUCUGACGUGCAAAUCGAUCGUCAAAUUUGCGUAUAGGGGCGAAAGACUAAUCGAACCAUUUGCAAACAGCAAUACUAGAUGGUUCAAAGGGCGGAGAGCCCUUAGUCCCCACGGGGGGCCACACUGCCCAAACUGCGGGGAACGCCCCACAGCCCGGACGCCACCGCCCCCCCGCCGCAAGGUGGGAGGGGCACCCCGUUUACUCGGGGGUAAGGUAACAGCGCGCCCGGCGGGUCGAUCCGCAGCCGUCCCCCGAUCCGUCGGGGGGUGGUUCACAGACUAGACGGCAGUGGGCGCGGCGAGCGCUUAAGAUAUAGUCGUCCAGCCCUCA
rnacentral:rRNA from 1 species